rnacentral:rRNA from 1 species
AGUGAACGCUGGCGGUAGGCCUAACACAUGCAAGUCGAACGGCAGCACAGUAAGAGCUUGCUCUUACGGGUGGCGAGUGGCGGACGGGUGAGGAAUACAUCGGAAUCUACUUUUUCGUGGGGGAUAACGUAGGGAAACUUACGCUAAUACCGCAUACGACCUACGGGUGAAAGCAGGGGAUCUUCGGACCUUGCGCGAGUGAAUGAGCCGAUGUCGGAUUAGCUAGUUGGCGGGGUAAAGGCCCACCAAGGCGACGAUCCGUAGCUGGUCUGAGAGGAUGAUCAGCCACACUGGAACUGAGACACGGUCCAGACUCCUACGGGAGGCAGCAGUGGGGAAUAUUGGACAAAGGGCGCAAGCCUGAUCCAGCCAUACCGCGUGGGUGAAGAAGGCCUUCGGGUUGUAAAGCCCCUUUGUUGGGAAAGAAAAGCAGCAGGUUAAUACCCCGCUGUUCUGACGGUACCCAAAGAAUAAGCACCGGCUAACUUCGUG